AUGGCAUCCGGUUCGUAGAUCGUCUUUCGUCGAUGACAGUGAUGUCACCAGUCACAAGCAGCGAGGGAGGCUCCAGAGGGCACGACACCUGGCCUAGCUACAACAUGCCUAAGCGGACGUUACUGCUGUUGCAGAUGACGUGUCCGAGGUGUCCCCAAGCGCCAGCAGCUUUAUCAAUAUAGCGCGAGCUCAGGACACUUUCCUAUGCAGCAAGAGGCUCUCCAUCAAAAAAACAUUAGGACGUCCAUCCGACGGCUGCAGACUAAGCUACCAAGCUGCCGGCGGACCAUCACAUGUCUGCAGAAGGAGCACAGCAGGCUGCCGCCGUCCAUUUCAAAGGCACUAGGUGUUAUCCGUCCAUGUGUUACAGAAAAGGUGUUUAAACUUUGGUGUACACACGUGCGGUUGCAGCAGAGGGUGGUGGACCCCUCCAGAGGUGUAACAGAACCUCUGGAGUGAAGUCGAAGCUUGCAAAAUGUGGAAUGGGGUGUGGAUUUAAACGCAAAGCAACGUACUGAUCUCGGGAGGAUUACCCCAGUCGGCGUUCUAUUAUUCGCUCUGUCGGCAUGUUGCAGAAUGAAAGUUAAAAAUGCUUUGACUGCCAGCCUAACAUUUAAAAGGUAAGGCGGCUAAGGCUAAGUAAUGUUUCAGGGACAGUACUGCUCCCUUGUUCACAUUGAAAAGUAUCUCGGUCUAUUUAUACGUUUAACUAGGUGGUGGUGGAGGAGAAGGUGGGGAGUAGUGAAGGGGUGUCCCCCCUCCUCCCCCUCGCCACUGUGACCUCUGUCGCACCUUUGCGGAAAGCUAGGGGGGGGUGUAAAUGGACGCCCUCGAGUUAUUCGUUGCUAAUCAGGGACUAGUAGCGGCCAUGAAACAUCAAAUAUGUUGACAAAACUAUGGUUUACUUCUGCAAAAAGUGGCACGAGCCUACUCGUCUCAUUUUUUUUUCUUGGGCGGGAAUCAUGUUUUGUGCUACGUGUCUUUUUAAGCUGCAACAUGUAAUUUUUUCCGACCAGUUUAUGUAUUGUCUUGAUUGCCUAAUGGUGGUAUUUUUUCAGUCUUUCGGUUUGUUUGCAGUUCGCAAAAUAGGUCGCGAAUGUAUGUUUUGCCUUUUCAUCAAGUUUACGUGUUUCACUCAUCACUUGAUGUUACGUCAGUAUCUAUCACCUUCCUUAUAAUGCGCCAAACGGGGACUGUAUACU